UUUAUGGAGAGUUUGAUCCUGGCUCAGGAUGAACGCUGGCGGCGUGCCUAAUACAUGCAAGUCGAGCGAACAGACGAGGAGCUUGCUCCUUUGACGUUAGCGGCGGACGGGUGAGUAACACGUGG
rnacentral:rRNA from 1 species